rnacentral:rRNA from 1 species
GUGGGGAAUAUUGGGCAAUGGGGGCAACCCUGACCCAGCGACGCCGCGUGAGGGUAGACGGCCUUCGGGUUGUAAACCUCUUUUGUACGGGAAGAAGGAUGUGACGGUACCGUGCGAAUAAGUCCCGGCUAACUACGUGCCAGCAGCCGCGGUAAUACGUAGGGGACGAGCGUUGUCCGGAAUUACUGGGCGUAAAGGGCGCGCAGGCUGUAGAUCAAGUCAGCUGUGAAAUGUCUGGGCUUAACCCGGGCAUGCGGUUGAAACUGAUGUACUGGAGUGCUGUAGAGGCAAGUGGAAUUCCCAGGGUAGCGGUGAAAUGCGUAGAUAUUGGGAAGAACACCGGUGGCGAAGGCGACUUGCUGGGCAGCAACUGACGCUGAGGCGCGAAAGCCAGGGGAGCAAACGGGAUUAGAUACCCCGGUAGUCC